UGGGCGUGUUAAAUGGACGCUGGUGCAAGGUGUGGGCAUGGCAUUUGUGUGUUGUGCCCGUGCCGAUGUGCGAGUUUCCAGGUGAUGCACUGGGCUUCGGGAUUUUGUUGUGCUAAUAUUUCCAUCCAACUCGGCGGUCAGUACCUCAACUCCGACGACGAACUCAGUGCUAUUGGGGCCGAUCCCCAUGCUUGGAGUAUCAAUUGGAUGCU